GACGAACGCUGGCGGCGUGCUUAACACAUGCAAGUCGAACGGAAAGGCCCUGCUUUUGUGGGGUGCUCGAGUGGCGAACGGGUGAGUAACACGUGAGUAACCUGCCCUUGACUUUGGGAUAACUUCAGGAAACUGGGGUUAAUACCGGAUAGGAGCUCCUGCUGCAUGGUGGGGGGUGGAAAGUUUCGGCGGUUGGGGAUGGACUCGCGGCUUAUCAGCUUGUUGGUGGGGUAGUGGCUUACCAAGGCUUUGACGGGUAGCCGGCCUGAGAGGGUGACCGGGCACAUUGGGACUGAGAUACGGCCCAGACUGCUACGGGAGGCAGCAGUGGGGAGUAUUGCACAAUGGGCGGAAGCCUGAUGCAGCGACGCCGCGUGCGGGAUGACGGCCUUCGGGUUGUAAACCGCUUUCGCCUGUGACGAAGCGUGAGUGACGGUAAUGGGUAAAGAAGCACCGGCUAACUACGUG
rnacentral:rRNA from 1 species